rnacentral:lncRNA from 1 species
UAAUUUACAAGGCGCAGUCUCGAGAUGACUCAUAUCUAACAGCACUUGAUGCUGUUAGAGAGAAACAUAAAUUAGCAGCUGUUGAUCUACUUGAUGGAGACAACCUAGCCAGUUUCUUAUGUAAACUGCAAGAUGACAUUAACAACCUUAAAGCCAUGCUUCGUGCAAUAUAUAUUGGUAUGCUUGCUUUUCUAGUUUAUUUGCCUGCUGUCUGGAGUGAAAAGAUCCUGAUUCUUCUUUUCACAAACCGAGUAAACUCCAUUGCAAAUUCCUAGUCCUACAAAGGAUGUUGUAAAAGAAAAAUAUUUUUAGAGUACUCCAAUCCCCAUUCCCUCACACCUUAGCACUGGACAAAUUAAUUAAGGGUGACAAAAAAGUUUCAAAACUAAAAAAGAGUGACACAAGUCUUAAAUAUUGAGUAGAGGUGACAAUUUAAAGUUUAGUGUUAAUGACACUAAUUUUAAAACCCUCAAGUUUUAUUAUUUAUAGAAAGAUCCCUACACCAUUACCACCACUCCUCCUCCACACCCUUUUUGUUGCCGCCGCCGUCGCCACCUCCUCUUCCUCCACUAUCACUUCCAUUGCCACCUCUUCUAGAUUCACCAUUAUUUCCUCCCUCUACAUAACUAUCGCCUAUUUCUCUUCUUUCUCCUCCACCAUCGUCGCUAUCAACACUACAACGAAUGCCAUCUUCUCAUUUGGUGUCACCACCAGCACCACCACCUCCCUUUUUACCAUAAAUAUCAGUUUUUCGUGGGCUCCUCCUCCAACCACAUCUUUUUUCAGAAAUUAAGUAUCGAAGUUGCUGCAGCAACUUUGAUAAUUGCUGUAACACAACAACUAAUAGUAGUUGUUGCAGCAAUUACCGUAACUAUUGUAGCAACUAUGGUAGUUGCUAAAGCAACUCUCGUAGUGUUGAAUUUGCCGAAUUAUUUCUUCAUUCAUUUUUAAAAGAAAUCAAAAAUUUUCUUUUCAAACUUCUCAAUUUUUUUCUUUUAAAAAAUAGUCCAUGAAGAUUAAAAAAGAAAGAAGAACGAAAUGAAAAGAGAAAGAAAUAGAAGAAGAGUAAAUGGAAGAAGAAGAAAAUCUAGAGAUAGAAAAAAAUAAGAAGAAGAAGAUGGGGAGAAAGAAAUUUGGAGAGAGAAAGAAAAAAAAAGAAGAAAGAUUGAAAGAUAAGAAAAGGGGGGAAUUCUAAAAUUUGAAAUUUGGUGUUGGAGGACUUUUUAAAAAUUACACUUUACAUCCCAAUUAACUUAAUCAUAGUUUAAAUAAACCUUUGACCUUAGCUGGUCAAAGUUGUCACCAUUUUUAAUUUAAAGACUUUUUUGUCACCUCACACCUAUCUAAAAACACUUGAUGCUGGUAGAGAGAAACAUAAAUUAGCAGCUGUUGAUCUACUUGAUGGAGACAACCUAGCCAGUUUCUUAUCUAAACUGCAAGAUGACAUUAACAACCUUAAAGCCAUGCUCCGUGCAAUAUAUAUUGGUAUGCUUGCUUUUCUCGUUUGUUUGCUUGCUGUCUGGAGGGAAAAGAUCCUGAUUCUUCUUUUCUCAAACCGAGUAAACGCCAUUGCAAAUUCCUAGUCCUACAAAGGAUGUUGUAAAAGAAAAAUAUUUUUAGAGUACUCCAAUCCCCCUUCCCUCACACCUUUGCACAUGGUUAAUCGAAAGCAUAUUGCACAGCAGUAAUUAUGGUUUUACUUCACUCUCUGGUUAGCAUAUGGGUAGUCGCUUCAAUCUCUUGUUUUUGCUAGAACUGAAUUGGUUCCUUACUGGAGUUCCUUUGAUUGACCUGCUUCUCUUCUUUGGCAUUAACUUUACGGCUUACUUGUUUU